UACGUAGGGGGCGAGUGUUGUCCGGAUUUAUUGGGCGUAAAGAGCUCGUAGGCGGUUCGGUAAGUUGGAUGUGAAAUCUCCAGGCUCAACUUGGAGGGGUCAUUCGAUACUGCCAUGACUAGAGUUCGGUAGGGGAGUGUGGAAUUCCUGGUGGAGCGGUGAAAUGCGCAGAUAUCAGGAGGAACACCCGUAGCGAAGGCGGCACUCUGGGCCGGAACUGACGCUGAGGAGCGAAAGCGUGGGGAGCGAACAGG
rnacentral:rRNA from 1 species